UUUACAAGAAUAUUUUCAACUUAAUUUACCUCUCUUUCUAUGAGAUUAUUUUCAUCUGUCAGAUCUUGUUCCUGUAAUUAGUAAAUAGCAAACGGAAGUUAGCAAAGUAUCGAUCCGCUUGUAACCUUAACAGCUUAAGCAAGAGCACUACGUUUAUUAGGCACUUAAAACAGUAAGAGACCUAAUCUUGGAGACACGAAAGCAACACGAGACACAGGAGAAAUAGAGAAGCCAACAAAAUAAUGACCCUGCCCAGUAGGAAAAAGUUGCACACCAAACAUUAAAUGCGAAAGUGAAGAAGCAAUCAGAAAAAUUCCCAUUUAAUUUAUUGACAACCUAGCUAAAAAUUCUUAGUUUUGUGCCUUCUCUUACUUGCUGAUUUGAGUGGAAUUAUUAAUUAGUACUCCCAUAGGAAUUCAAGGGGAAAACCAGAGACCUAAAGAAAAGCAACACAUUAAGCCUAAACUGCAAGAAUGCGAGGAGAAAUUACCACUAAGUUUCUUGGGACAAUCCUUUGUUCCUCUUAUCAUUAGGAAUUGUUUUUCAUGAUAAUUAAUCACUCCCCAUCUGUUUUCCCUACAGCCUCAACCCCAUUCCUCUGCCUCUCACAUCUUCUAGAAAAUGUUCUCACUUCCAUGAAAACAGCAAUACUGAAAAAGAACACAUUCUACCUAGUAUUCCUAUGCAAAUGAAGUUUGUUACAUGUCAUAUCAGACUCUGGAUAUGCUCCUGACAAAACACCUACCAUGCAAUUAUUUAACGCAACAAACUUAAAUGAUUUGUCCCAUCUGUUUGUACACCCAUCCAAAGAAUGACGAACCCGUACGGAUAGAAUGUGACUAUAUGAGAGCCUUACAAAACAGGCAGCAGUUCAAUAAAGGCACCAUUCUCUUCCAUGCAUUUUAAGUGCUCAUCGUGUAACUAAUAUUGCUUCUAGGAGGAGGCAGCCGUACAGUGGAGAAUGGCUUCUCUGGUUUAGAAGCCAUCAAGCACCCCCUCUUGCAACUGCGGAAGCCUCUAGGGGCAAGUAAGUCUAAUUCUGAUUAUUGCAGAUUAAAUCCACCUCAGCUUAUGGAUCUAGGAGUCACAUAAAAGUAUUUCCGUGUUCCAUCAAUACUAAACAGCGCUUCGCUUUCAAUCCUGAUUGCUAUUUCUUGACUUUUAGUUUUAUGUGUGUCAUAGCGCUCAAGGAUAUUUCUCAAACUGUACACAAAGGAACAUUGCGCAACUCAGAAAUCCUCAAACUGGGCAUAAAGGAACAUAGUACAACUGAUAAGCAAGCAAGGAACCUACAAGUAUUGUGAAGCAAAUACCAACAGAGAAUCAAUAAAACAAUUGAAGCUACAAGUGAAGUUUAGCCAGCAUAAAAAUCCCUGACAAUCCAUAUGACAGGUAUUUUCCCAUUCCUUCCAUCUUCUAAAAUUUACAGUGGAUAAUGGUUGUAAGGUUCACUUCUAUGAGCCCUUGUUAGCGCUUGUUGUGGUGGUCAUUUUUCAUUUAUGGUGAUUGUAUGUACUUAUUUUCUUUUUGUAUCUUGAUAGCAUUCUAAGGUUAAGGCUUUCAUUUAGACUGGUAGCCAACAUGAAAGGUCAAUAAUAACCAACUCUUCUACGGAAGGCCUUGUAUCAUCGAACAUUAAUGUACAUGUCAUAUGUAGUUUUAGGGAGAGACAGUUUCUAGCCUCCUGCUGUCAUACAGUAGUGGGAAACAUGCUGAACAUUCUUUGCUUUUUAAUCAAGAGGUAAUCAAGAGGCAUGACUGAUCUUAAAUAGAGGAUAUAUUGUCAGUUCCAAGGGUUUUGGACAAAAUGAAGGCAUGAAACAUUGAAAGUAUGCGAUGCGGGACAUGAUUUUGAUUUUUGCUAGUGUGACUUGAGGAUUUAUCAUGAUGGAAAUCAUGAAAGAAUUUCCUUUUUUGGAGGAUACCCUGUCCUCUGUAUUUUCUUCAUUUUCUCUUUCGUUGAUAGAUUUUUUUUUUAACUUUAAAAAAAGAAGAAAAAAAGGCUAGUAGUAUUAGGGUGCAAUAAUAAUCAUGAUAGUCAAAAGUUAGAAGAUAGAUUUAUGACACUCAGUUAUCUUGUUAGGAUUUACCUGUCAAGUAAGAUCAUUAGGAAGAACAAUAUGCCAAGCAAAAAUUAAGUUUUUCGGCCCUUACUCUUAAGAGUUUAUUAUAUUUAUUCUAACAUCAAAAGGUAACAGCUAUUACUGAGAUGAAACUAUAUGAAUUUUCUCCAACUAUACAUGAUAGCUUAGGUUCUCCACAGAAACUUUGCAAUAGGUAACUAUGCUUUUAUUAUUUAUGGCCGAAGUGAGUUCAAAUGGGUUCUUUUCCUUUUUUCUUUUUUUUUUUGUAUUGCAAUAUUUAACUACGCUUUUAUCAACAGUAUGUAACUAUUGUAUUUCUAUUGAUAAUAUUAUUCGAUUUAGAAAUAUAGAAAAGGAAAAACAAGAUUGAAGGAAAAAGGAACAUAAUGAGAAUGCUUCUCCUGUUCCCAUUUCUUUUCUUUCGAUUAUUUUGGAAUUAUAGUAGGUAAUUUGAAUGCACUAUAUGUUUGAGAAUAUGUUGUAGUUCUAAAAUGAGAAGAAUUGCGAGAAAGAAGAUAGAAAAAACAGAGAGAAUCGAGUAUUUAUGACUGAGUAUUUGCUUUGAACAUGGGUGUAGAUAGCUUUGCAAUCAACAAAAUCACCAUCAAAUACAUCUCUGUGCCAUGCUUGUUUCUGAGAUAGCAUACCUAUUGUUUCUAAAAGAAGUCUCUGUACCAAGAAAUUUUCAUUAUGAGUUCUAUUACUAUAUGCUUGAAUAAAUAUUCAGCUCAGAAAGCCUUUGGAGAGAUUAAAGCCUUAAUGAUUGAAUCGCCUGUUAUUA